UCAUUUUUAAAAUUGUUAGCCCAAGCAAAAGCUUCUUCUCCUAAAAAAUGAGAAAUUUUGUUUCCAGAUUCAUAUGUAGUUUUUAAUGGCCAAUUCCAUGAUAUUAAGGUGUCAAGUUGGUCAUUAGAUAAAAUACAAGGAAAAUACAUCGACCUGAUUCCAUACAUGAAAAGAAAACUGUAAAUACCAAUAGGCAUUCCAUGUGACCUCUUUUACCGAAGGACGUCCCUAAUCUCCGAACAAUUCAUCGGACACUACAUAGAACACUAUGAAUGCGAAAUGGAAUAAAAUUGGUCACGUUUUUCUUUUUGGAAAAGAAGACCAAACACAACGCCCAAAAGAACACGAAGACGUUUGGCAUUAUUUUUCUAGGGUCAUCGUAAUUUUUAUGUCAGUUGCUUAGUGGCUUACAGAAGUUACAGCUGCAUAAGCAAACGAAAACAACAUUUAAGCUAUCUGCUACCUACAGAAAUGU